CCUACGGGCGGCAGCAGUGGGGAAUAUUGGGCAAUGGGCGCAAGCCUGACCCAGCAACGCCGCGUGAAGGAAGAAGGCCCUCCGGUUGUUAACUUCUUUUAUUCGGGGCGCAACCAAUGACGGUACCGAAUGAAUAAGCCACGGCUAAAUACGUGGCAUCAGCCGGCGGAAUACGGAGGUGGGCAGCAUUAUCCGGAUUUUCUGGGUGUUAAGGGCGUCUAGGCGGGAGUGCAAGUCAGACGGUAAAUUUCAGUGCUCAAACCCGGUACUGCGUUUGAAACUGUUCGUCUUGAGUGAUUGAGAGGCAGGCGGAAUGCGGUGUGUAGCGGUGAAAUGCGUAGAUAUCACGCGGAACACCAGUGGCGAAGGCGGCAUGCUGGAGAUUAACUGACGCUGAGGCGCGAAAGCGUGGGGAGCGAACAGGAUUAGAUACCCGGGUAGUC
rnacentral:rRNA from 1 species